AGUGCGGGCAGCUCCAGAAGCUCAUCGGCAUCUUCAUUGGCAGCCUGUGCGGGCUGUGCACCAAGUGUGCUGUGUCUAACGACCUCACCCAGCAGGAGAUGUGGACCCUGGAGGUGAGGAAACCGAAGGCCUGAGGGAGAACUGACUUGCCAGGAACCCCUGUUAAGGAGAAUUAACAAAGUGUGGUUAUUAAAGAAGAACUGAGUUGGGAGUCAGACCUGGAGGCCUGCACCCUUGGUUAAGACAUUAUACCACCAUACAACAGAGAAAUGCAUAAUGUCCAGUCAAUUUAUUAAAGUUCCAAAGUCGGUCGCGCGCAGUGGCUCACGCCUGUAAUCUCAACACUUCGGGAGGCUGAGGCGUGUGGAUCACGAGGUCAGGAGUUGGAGACUAGCCUGACCAACAUGGUGAAACCCCGUCUCUACUAAAAAUACAAAAAUUAGCCAGGCAUGGUGGCACGCGGCUGUGAUCCCCGCUACUCAGGCGGCUGAGGCAGGAGAAUUGCUUGAACCUGGGAGACAGAGGUUGCAGUGAGCAGAGAUGGUGCCACCGUACUCCAGCCUGGGA